AUGUCGUGUCUUUUGGAGAGCCAGUGAAUCCGCGACCAGGAACAUCCCUCCGCAUACCUUCGUGGAGGGGACGCCGGAUAUCGUGGAUCUUUCGUGUUUACUGGCCCUCCAAGAGCUUCGAUCUUUUCGUCUACUGGUCUGCUUAAAAGAGUGACUGAAGAAGAAAGGAUUUAGUGAAACCAAUUUUUGGCUGCUCUGUUAAUCGAUCAUACCGAAUCGAGAUUCGAAAACAUCGACAGCCGUGAGACGGUCAACAAGCGACGACGCACACCAAAGCAUGAAUAUCUUUUCUUUCUACUGUCUUCGUACUUCGUACUUUUAUCUUACUCGGUCGUAAGUGCACACGUAUCGCUUUUAUCAGUUCAUAAGAAACGACACCGUGAACGCUUU